GGCCUCCUUCGGCCCGGGACCCUCCCCGGUCCCCGUCGCUUGCCUCUGUGGCUGGGAUCGCGGGUCACCGUCCUCCCGGCCACCCCGAGCCCUCCAGGGGAAGCGGGCGGCUCCUGGGAGCGCCGCGGCCUCCGAGCUAUUUUUAAAAAAACAAAGUUGAGGUCAGCGUCUUCGGAACUCCCCGGUGCCCGACCCGGCCUUGCCUACCCGAGAGGGGCCGGUGACACCUCGGGAAGGCUCCGGGGAGGACCCGGCACAGAGAGCAUCCCUAAGGAACCCGCUGCAUCCAUCCUUCCUCAGGUCAGAGACCGAGGACCAGCACUUGCUGAUCAAGUCGGCUGUGCUCAGCGUGCUGGGGAGUCCCCAGGACAUUCUACUCCAGGAUGGCAGUUUGGAAAAAGCUGGUUGCAGAGUUCUGAUUGAGGACCUGAAGUGCCUGGGAUUGUAUUUUUGGAUAGUGAGCCGUAGACGGAGUGACACUAGGAUACUUUGCGUUGGGGCUUGUGCCUAUUGGUCACUGCUCCAAUUCCGGGUAGAAAUGACUACCUCUCAAGGGCAUGCACAUGGACUGGACGAGGAGACGGACCAGUCUCACAAGGUUGGGUGUGGUGGUACAUGUCUGUCAUCCCAGCACUCAGGAGGCCAAAGCAGAAUCCUGAGACCCAGGCUAGCCUGGACUACAUAGUGAGACCCUGUCUCAGAAACAAAAAGUAGGAGUAGGAAUCACAAACCAAGAAGGGUCCCAAGCUAGGUGGUAGAAUUCGUACUCUCGGAAAACUGUACGUGGGCAAUGAGAAUAGAUUUAUUUCUACCUGUAUAGUUUUUACUAUUUGAACUCUUGCCUUGUCUAAUUUGAAAAGAUUUAACUGGCUUUCCUUUUCUGCUCUUUUAUUUCAUAUACGUGCCAGGUGAGAGAGGAGGUCAGAGGAUGACUUUCGAGAAUUGAUUCUCUCCCACUAUAGGCUGCUGAGACUCGAAGCCGCCAAACCUGCUGAAAGGAAGAAGGGAUCCACAGAUGGAUCCCCUGCAUUUAACCUUCUCAGACCAAGCUCCUGUCUCCACACCUGUCCCGUCAGUAACACCACACAGUGGCCAGACAGGGUUUCCCUGUAUUGUUUCGGAGGCUAUCGGUCCAGCCUGGCCUUGAACUCACAAAGAUCCACCUGCCUCUUUCUGCCUCCCGAGUGCUGGGAUUAAAGGCGUGCGCCACCACCGCCCGGCCGCUCUCCUAUUCUUAAAGAAUCAUGAUUACAGUGAUGGAUGUGUACCUCAAACCCGCUCUCCUAUUCUUAAAGAAUCACGAUUUGUA